rnacentral:sRNA from 1 species
CACUAGCCCCGAUUGCAGUGGAAAUCCUUUUAUGAGUUGCCAAACGAAUAAAAGAUUGCAACGUAAAGCGGGUUCAAGC